rnacentral:rRNA from 1 species
UAAUACGUAGGGGGCAAGCGUUGCUCGGAAUCACUGGGCGUAGAGGGUCCGUAGGCGGUUCGGCAAGUUGGCUGUGAAAUCUCCCGGCUCAACUGGGAGGGUGCGGUCAAAACUGCUGGACUUGAGGGUCGGAGAGGCGAGUGGAAUUCCUGGUGUAGCGGUGAAAUGCGUAGAUAUCAGGAGGAACACCGGUGGCGAAAGCGGCUCGCUGGACGGCGCCUGACGCUGAGGGACGAAAGCUAGGGGAGCAAACAGGAUUAGAUACCCUGGUAGUCCCAGCCCUAAACGAUGGUCACUAGCUGCGCCCCCCGUUGGGGGGGCGUGGCGUCGCUAACGCAUUAAGUGACCCGCCUGGGGAGUACGGUCGCAAGGCUG